rnacentral:rRNA from 1 species
CCUACGGGAGGCAGCAGUGGGGAAUAUUGCACAAUGGGCGAAAGCCUGAUGCAGCAACGCCGCGUGAGUGAUGAAGGCUUUCGAGUCGUAAAGCUCUUUGAUCAGGGAUGAUAAUGACAGUACCUGAAAAACAAGCCACGGCUAACUACGUGCCAGCAGCCGCGGUAAUACGUAGGUGGCGAGCGUUGUCCGGAAUUACUGGGCGUAAAGGAUGCGUAGGUGGAUAUUUAAGUGGGAUGUGAAAUCCCCGGGCUCAACCCGGGAACUGCAUUCCAAACUGGAUAUCUAGAGUGCAGGAGAGGAAAGCGGAAUUCCUAGUGUAGCGGUGAAAUGCGUAGAUAUUAGGAGGAACACCAGUGGCGAAGGCGGCUUUCUGGACUGUAACUGACACUGAGGCAUGAAAGCGUGGGUAGCAAACA